CCUACGGGAGGCAGCAGUAGGGAAUAUUGCUCAAUGGGGGAAACCCUGAAGCAGCAACGCCGCGUGGAGGAUGAAGGUUUUCGGAUUGUAAACUCCUUUUGUUAGAGAAGAUAAUGACGGUAUCUAACGAAUAAGCACCGGCUAACUCCGUGCCAGCAGCCGCGGUCAUACGGAGGGUGCAAGCGUUACUCGGAAUCACUGGGCGUAAAGAGCGCGUAGGCGGGAUAGCAAGUGCGAUGUGAAAUCCUAUGGCUUAACCAUAGAACUGACUUUGAAACUGUUAUUCUAGAGUAUGGGAGAGGUAGGUGGAAUUCUUGGUGUAGGGGUAAAAUCCGUAGAGAUCAAGAGGAAUACUCAUUGCGAAGGCGACCUGCUAGAACAUAACUGACGCUGAUGCGCGAAAGCGUGGGGAGCAAACAGGAUUAGAUACCCUGGUAGUC
rnacentral:rRNA from 1 species